GAGCAGGGGGUGGGACUAGAUGCCUCCUGAGGGCUCUUCCAACCCUGCUAUUCUGUGAUUCUACGACUGUCCUGGACUCGCUGUGUGAUACUAAAUUCCUUCCCUUCUCUGUGCCCAGGGUAUGCUGGGUCUGCCGUUGCUGACAAGGUUCUGUCACCUCCCCGGGAGGAAACAGUCUGAGACUCAGCAGAUCACUGGAGCCACCUGCUCCUCAUUGAUCAGCCCCCAGCCACCCAGCCAGCCCAGAGGGGUGUGGCGGGGCUUCAGAUGGCCACUUUCUGGGGAAACUCAGGUCCCAGCAGGACUGGUACAAAAAUGGUACCAGGAAUCCCCGAUCUCUGUUCAAGGAGCCUGAUAGGCCAGGAUGGUGUCCCUGGAGGCAGCUGGCGGCUUCCUCAGGGAUAGUCACUCCAGGCUAGAACUGACCUUACUCUGAGAGUUAUCCCAGAAAAGGUACUGAAAGGUGCUUGGGUAGAGUCACUCCAGGGAGUACUGGCCAUGCUCAGGUAAAGUCACUGCAGGGGGGUACUGGGCAUGCUCGGGUAGAGCUACUCCAGGGAGGUACUGGGCACACUUGGGUAUAAUUACUCCAGGGGGGUACUAGGUACACUCGGGUAGAGUCACUCCUGGGGGUACUGGCCAUGCUCAGGUAAAGUCACUGCAGGGGGGUACUGGGCACGCUCGGGUAGAGUCACUCCUGGGGGUACUGGGCACGCUCGGGUAGAGUCACUCCUGGGGGUACUGGUGACGCUCAGGUAGAGUCACUCCAGGGGGUACUGGGCAUGCUCAGGGGGGGGUCACU